CCUACGGGAGGCAGCAGUGAGGAAUAUUGGUCAAUGGACGAGAGUCUGAACCAGCCAAGUAGCGUGAAGGAUGACUGCCCUAUGGGUUGUAAACUUCUUUUAUAAAGGAAUAAAACGAGGCACGUGUGCCUUUUUGCAUGUACUUUAUGAAUAAGGAUCGGCUAACUCCGUGCCAGCAGCCGCGGUAAUACGGAGGAUCCGAGCGUUAUCCGGAUUUAUUGGGUUUAAAGGGAGCGUAGAUGGGUUGUUAAGUCAGUUGUGAAAGUUUGCGGCUCAACCGUAAAAUUGCAAUUGAUACUGGCAGUCUUGAGUACAGUUGAGGUAAGCGGAAUUCGUGGUGUAGCGGUGAAAUGCGUAGAUAUCAUGAAGAACACCGAUUGCGAAGGCAGCUUACUAAACUGUGACUGACAUUGAUGCACGAAAGUGUGGGUAGCAAACAGGAUUAGAUACCCUUGUAGUC
rnacentral:rRNA from 1 species